rnacentral:rRNA from 1 species
CCUACGGGGUGCAGCAGUGAGGAAUAUUGGUCAAUGGACGAGAGUCUGAACCAGCCAAGUAGCGUGAAGGAUGACUGCCCUAUGGGUUGUAAACUUCUUUUAUAUGGGAAUAAAACGUUCCACGUGUGGGAUUUUGUAUGUACCAUAUGAAUAAGGAUCGGCUAACUCCGUGCCAGCAGCCGCGGUAAUACGGAGGAUCCGAGCGUUAUCCGGAUUUAUUGGGUUUAAAGGGAGCGUAGGUGGAUUGUUAAGUCAGUUGUGAAAGUUUGCGGCUCAACCGUAAAAUUGCAGUUGAAACUGGCAGUCUUGAGUACAGUAGAGGUGGGCGGAAUUCGUGGUGUAGCGGUGAAAUGCUUAGAUAUCACGAAGAACUCCGAUUGCGAAGGCAGUUCACUGGACUGCAACUGACACUGAGGCUCGAAAGUGUGGGUAUCAAACAGGAUUAGAUACCCUUGUAGU